AGGCGACGACGGGUAGCUCGGCCUGAGAGGGUGAUCGGCCACAUUGGGACUGAGAUACGGCCCAGACUCCUACGGGAGGCAGCAGUGGGGAAUAUUGCACAAUGGGCGGAAGCCUGAUGCAGCGACGCCGCGUGAGGGAUGACGGCCUUCGGGUUGUAAACCUCUUUCAGCAGGGACGAAGCGUAAGUGACGGUACCUGCAGAAGAAGCACCGGCUAACUAUGUGCCAGCAGCCGCGGUAAUACGUAGGGUGCGAGCGUUGUCCGGAAUUACUGGGCGUAAAGAGCUCGUAGGCGGUUUGUCACGUCGUCUGUGAAAUCCUAGGGCUUAACCCUGGACGUGCAGGCGAUACGGGCUGACUUGAGUACUACAGGGGAGACUGGAAUUUCUGGUGUAGCGGUGGAAUGCACAGAUAUCAGGAAGAACACCGAUGGCGAAGGCAGGUCUCUGGGUAGUAACUGACGCUGAGGAGCGAAAGCAUGGGUAGCGAACAGGAUUAGAUACCCUGGUAGUCCAUGCCGUAAACGGUGGGCGCUAGGUGUGGGGUUCCUUCCACGGGCUCCGCGCCGUAGCUAACGCAUUAAGCGCCCCGCCUGGGGAGUACGGCCGCAAGGCUAAAACUCAAAGAAAUUGACGGGGGCCCGCACAAGCGGCGGAGCAUGUGGAUUAAUUCGAUGCAACGCGAAGAACCUUACCUGGGCUUGACAUAUAGAGGAUCGCUACAGAGAUGUGGUUUCCCUUGUGGCUUCUAUACAGGUGGUGCAUGGUUGUCGUCAGCUCGUGUCGUGAGAUGUUGGGUUAAGUCCCGCAACGAGCGCAACCCUUGUCUUAUGUUGCCAGCACGUUAUGGUGGGGACUCGUGAGAGACUGCCGGGGUCAACUCGGAGGAAGGUGGGGAUGACGUCAAAUCAUCAUGCCCCUUAUGUCCAGGGCUC
rnacentral:rRNA from 1 species